CUUGGUUAGACCCUGUGAAGUUCAGGAUGACAAUUUUGUCUCCAUGCCUGAUUCUACAGUUUGCUUUUUCAGAUUCCAUCAAAUGGAAUUUUCCAGUACCAUCAGCACUUUCCUCAAAACCCUCGUUUGCCUAAAGCCCUAAACCCUUUUCUCCAUCCAGUCUCCAUCUUUUUAAAACCCUACCAAGCUACUACUGCUGGUAUCAAUGGCGAUUUCUGUAUUUCUCAAGGCUUUUACUCGCCGUGCUCAGCUUCCCAGUUCUCUUUCUUCCUAUGAAUCUGUGUUAAGGAAUGUCAACGGCCCAGGGACAAGUUCACUAUUGGGCAAACAAUUCACAAGUUUGGGUAGAAGGGCAUGAUUAAGAUUCUUUCCCUUUGCCAUGAAUGUUACUGCAACUUCUUAAUUAGUAAAUUGAUUUUACAUUUUUGUUUCUUUUCCAGCUCAAAAGCGUCGGUCACAGUUAUCCAGUUGCGCAGAUUAUUUGUUGUUUUUCCCCUUUUGGAUUGUUGUCAUCAAGAAUCAUAGAUUUUGAUUUUAUGUUUUUCUUAUUGUGUAACGAUACUAUGUAACAGAACCAAACUAAGUCCAACCUAACAAAGGUAGUUUUCAAGUAUGCAUGCACAAAUGACGAAUCUCAAGAACACAGUAGGCCUGUCAAGCCCGUGGUAAAAAAGGUACUUGAGAUUCCCAGUGGGCAUACAUUCUUUGAAUACAGAGAAGGAGAUGUCGUGGGCUGGUGUAACUUGAGCGAGCUUUUGCACUCAUAUCUCGUGCGAGUUAAGGAGGCUACAGAGUCAGCCAGUGGAGACAAGUUAUCAGAGUUUUGUUUUGUAGAGGCUUCACUUUUCAAAGAACGAAUAGGAAGCAUAAUGGAUAGUGCAUCCGAUGCUUUUUUUGUGAAGUGCAUGAUUGAUAAUAUUGAGAAAACUAAAGACUCUUUUCCCAAUGGCAAAAACUCAAGAUGCGGGCUCAAACUCUAUCUCGAUAACAUAUUUAAAAUUCGUAUUUGGGAAAUAAUAACAGGCGCUGAUAAGCACGUGCCGGAUAUUAUUGUGUCUGAGUUAAAGAAAAUGGAUUUGACUUCACAGAAGAUCCAGUAACACUCCAGAAAAUUGAGGAAGCAGUUGAGAGGGCGAUGACACGAAUGACAAAUGGAAUCAAGCUUCAUCUGCCAGUUCCUGCUGGUGAACCUGAUAUGAGUGCGACUAUCAGUUGGGGUAAAUAUACUGGUCCACCUACUGAAAUCUAUCCGUUUGGCCCCAAGUUAUAUAGCUUACGCCUUCAACGGUGAUCUUCUUUGAUGUUCUUGUUUUAAAUACAAGAAAUGGAUCAGUUAGCUGGAAGUAAAUUUUGACAUACCUAUAAGUGUACUAACUUGUUACUACUGUUUUUUUUGUUAAUUGAGCUUGUAAGUAUUCCAGCACUGACAUUUGCAACUGCGUUUUGAUGGGAAACAGUGAAGACAUGUUUUGCGAUUUCUAUUCUUGAAACUGAUUCCCAACUAGAUACUAGUUACUACCAUUCU